CUACCAUGGCAGUCACGGGUAACGGAGAAUUAGGGUUCGGUUCCGGAGAGGGAGCCUGAGAAACGGCUACCACAUCUAAGGAAGGCAGCAGGCGCGCAAAUUACCCAAUCCCGAUUCGGGGAGGUAGUGACAAGAAAUAACAACUCGGGAGGUUCUACCUUUACGAGAUUGCAAUGAGAACAAUUUAAAUCACUUAACGAGGAACAAUUGGAGGGCAAGUCUGGUGCCAGCAGCCGCGGUAAUUCCAGCUCCAAUAGCGUAUAUUAAAGUUGUUGCAGUUAAAAAGCUCGUAGUCGAAUUUCUGGCUGUGCGUAUUCUCAGCUUCGGUUGAAAUACAGUGCAGUCAUCCGUCUGCAAAACUACCACGGCCUUUAGUGGUCGGAUAGGGGAGCAGACACUUUACCUUGAAAAAAUUAGAGUGCUUCAGGCAGGUACUCGCCGGAAUACAUUAGCAUGGAAUAAUGGAAUAGGACUCAUGUUCGUUGUUGGUUAUGAACAGGAGUAAUGAUUAAUAGGGACAGUUGGGGGCAUUAGUAUUUAAUUGUCAGAGGUGAAAUUCUUGGAUUUAUUAAAGACUAACUUAUGCGAAAGCAUUUGCCAAGGAUGUUUUCAUUGAUCAAGAACGAAAGAUAGGGGAUC
rnacentral:rRNA from 1 species